rnacentral:rRNA from 1 species
GUUGAUUCUGCCGGAGGUUACUGCUAUCGAGGUUCGACUAAGCCAUGCGAGUCGAAUGUAGCAAUACAUGGCGUACUGCUCAGUAACACGUGGAUAACCUACCCUUGAGACGGGGAUAAACCCGGGAAACUGGGUAUAAUACCCGAUAGAUCUCGACUGCUGGAAUGCAUCGAGCUUGAAAGCUCCGGCGCUCAAGGAUGGGUCUGCGGCCUAUCAGGUAGUAGUGGGUGUAGCGUACCUACUAGCCUACGACGGGUACGGGUUGUGAGAGCAAGAGCCCGGAGAUGGAUUCUGAGACACGAAUCCAGGCCCUACGGGGUGCAGCAGGCGCGAAAACUUUACAAUGCUGGAAACAGCGAUAAGGGGACCUCGAGUGCCAGGUUACAAAUCUGGCUGUCGUGAUGCCUAAAAAGCAUUGCAUAGCAAGGGCCGGGCAAGACCGGUGCCAGCCGCCGCGGUAACACCGGCGGCUCGAGUGGUAACCGUUAUUAUUGGGUCUAAAGGGUCUGUAGCCGGCCGGAUAAGUCUCUUGGGAAAUCUGGCAGCUUAACUGUCAGGCUUUCAGGAGAUACUGUCUGGCUCGAGGCCGGGAGAGGUGAGAGGUACUUCAGGGGUAGGGGUGAAAUCUUGUAAUCCUUGAAGGACCACCAGUGGCGAAGGCGUCUCACCAGAACGGACCUGACGGCAAGGGACGAAAGCUAGGGGCACGAACCGGAUUAGAUACCCGGGUAGUCCUAGCCGUAAACGAUACUCGCUAGGUGUCGGCAACGGUGCGACCGUUGUCGGUGCCGUAGGGAAGCCGUGAAGCGAGCCACCUGGGAAGUACGGCCGCAAGGCUGAAACUUAAAGGAAUUGGCGGGGAGCACCACAACGGG